rnacentral:rRNA from 1 species
UACGUAGGGUGCAAGCGUUAAUCGGAAUUACUGGGCGUAAAGCGUGCGCAGGCGGCUUUGCAAGACAGAUGUGAAAUCCCCGGGCUUAACCUGGGAACUGCAUUUGUGACUGCAUGGCUGGAGUGCGGCAGAGGGGGAUGGAAUUCCGCGUGUAGCAGUGAAAUGCGUAGAUAUGCGGAGGAACACCGAUGGCGAAGGCAAUCCCUGGGCCUGCACCUGACGCUCAUGCACGAAAGCGUGGGGAGCAAACAGGA